UACAGAGGGUGCGAGCGUUAAUCGGAAUUACUGGGCGUAAAGCGUGCGUAGACGGUUAUUUAAGUCGGAUGUGAAAGCCCCGGGCUCAACCUGGGAAUUGCAUUCGAGACUGAAUAGCUAGGGUGCGGUAGAGGGAAGCGGAACUUCCGGUGUAGCGGUGAAAUGCGUAGAUAUCGGAAGGAACAUCAGUGGCGAAAGCGGCUUCCUGGACCAGCACCGACGUUCAGGCACGAAAGCGUGGGGAGCAAACAGG
rnacentral:rRNA from 1 species